UACGUAGGGUGCAAGCGUUACUCGGAAUCACUGGGCGUAAAGCGUGCGCAGGCGGUGAUGUAAGACAGGUGUGAAAUCCCCGGGCUUAACCUGGGAACUGCAUUUGUGACUGCAUCGCUGGAGUGCGGCAGAGGGGGAUGGAAUUCCGCGUGUAGCAGUGAAAUGCGUAGAUAUGCGGAGGAACACCGAUGGCGAAGGCAAUCCCCUGGGCCUGCACUGACGCUCAUGCACGAAAGCGUGGGGAGCAAACAGG
rnacentral:rRNA from 1 species